GACGAACGCUGGCGGCGUGCUUAACACAUGCAAGUCGAACGGAAAGGCCCUGCUUUUGUGGGGUUCUCGAGUGGCGAACGUGUGUGUAACACGUGAGUAACCUGCCCUUGACUUUGGGAUAACUUCAGGAAACUGGGUCUAAUACCGGAUAGGAUCUCCUGCUGCAUGGUGUGGUUUGGAUAGUUUCGGCGGUUGGGGAUGGACUCGCGGCUUAUCAGCUUGUUUGUGGGGUAGUGGCUUACCAAGGCUUUGACGGGUAGCCGGCCUGAGAGGGUGACCGGCCACAUUGGGACUGAGAUACGGCCCAGACUCCUACGGGAGGCAGCAGUGGGGAAUAUUGCACAAUGGGCGGAAGCCUGAUGCAGCAACGCCGCGUGCGGGAUGACGGCCUUCGGGUUGUAAAACGCUUUCGCCUGUGACGAAGCGUGAGUGACGGUAAUGGGUAAAGAAGCACCGGCUAACUACGUG
rnacentral:rRNA from 1 species